UCUAAUAUCUAAACUUGUUGCGGUUCCCUAUGCAGAUAAACAGUGCGCUUAGUGGUGGGAAAAAUACCGAGACUGAACAGGAAAAUCUCGGAGCAAAUCUCGAGGUGGACAUACCGUUCAAGUAUUUGAGUUUCUUCCUUGAAGAUGAUUCUGAACUUGAACGCAUUAGAAAGGAAUAUGGAGAGAAAGAUGGGAAACAUGCAAUCAGGGGAUGUAAAGAAGCGAGUCACGGAAGUCUUGACAGAAAUAGUGGAGAGACACCGCAGGGCACGAGCUGCUGUUACCGAUGAGAUGGUGGACGCAUUCAUGGCCGUGAGACCUCUCCCAAGCAUGUUCGAGUAAGUAAGACUACUCCUAAACCAGAAGAAACCCACUUUGGCAGCUCCUCGCAACUUCACGUCACAUCUUUGGGUCUAUAAUUAUUUCUCAAAAUUGGAUUUUAAGAGGAUUGUAGCAGUGUGAAAUGUUUUUUUUUUAGGGAUUUGAUUUGAGUCGAUUCUCAAAAUUCUUAGUGGGAGUCGAUCGAACUUUCUUCUGUCACAGAAAUACACUUACAGUUUUGUUGAGUCCUUGGA